CCUACGGGCGGCAGCAGUGGGGAAUAUUGGACAAUGGGGGGAACCCUGAUCCAGCGACGCCGCGUGAGUGAAGAAGUAUUUCGGUAUGUAAAGCUCUAUCAGCAGGGAAGAAAGGAAUGACGGUACCUGACUAAGAAGCCCCGGCUAACUACGUGCCAGCAGCCGCGGUAAUACGUAGGGGGCAAGCGUUAUCCGGAUUUACUGGGUGUAAAGGGAGCGUAGACGGUUACGCAAGUCUGGAGUGAAAGGCGGGGGCCCAACCCCCGGACUGCUUUGGAAACUGUAUAACUGGAGUGCAGGAGAGGGAAGUGGAAUUCCUAGUGUAGCGGUGAAAUGCGUAGAUAUUAGGAGGAACACCAGUGGCGAAGGCGGCUUACUGGACUGUAACUGACGUUGAGGAGCGAAAGCGUGGGUAGCAAACAGGAUUAGAUACCCGAGUAGUC
rnacentral:rRNA from 1 species